rnacentral:rRNA from 1 species
UCCGUAGGGUGAACCUGCGGAAGGAUCAUUACCGAGUGCGGGCCCUCGCGGCCCAACCUCCCACCCUUGUCUCUAUACACCUGUUGCUUUGGCGGGCCCACCGGGGCCACCUGGUCGCCGGGGGACGCACGUCUCCGGGCCCGCGCCCGCCGAAGCGCUCUGUGAACCCUGAUGAAGAUGGGCUGUCUGAGUACUGUGAAAAUUGUCAAAACUUUCAACAAUGGAUCUCUUGGUUCCGGCAUCGAUGAAGAACGCAGCGAAAUGCGAUAAGUAAUGUGAAUUGCAGAAUUCCGUGAAUCAUCGAAUCUUUGAACGCACAUUGCGCCCCCUGGCAUUCCGGGGGGCAUGCCUGUCCGAGCGUCAUUUCUGCCCUCAAGCACGGCUUGUGUGUUGGGUGUGGUCCCCCCGGGGACCUGCCCGAAAGGCAGCGGCGACGUCCGUCUGGUCCUCGAGCGUAUGGGGCUCUGUCACUCGCUCGGGAAGGACCUGCGGGGGUUGGUCACCACCAUGUUUUACCACGGUUGACCUCGGAUCAGGUAGGAGUUACCCGCUGAACUUAAGCAUAUCAAUAAGCGGGAGG